GAUGGCCGCUGCACGUGAUUGAGCGCAACUGCGCUAAUUUUUUCUUUUUUUCUCAGUGUCUGGAUGAAGUCGGAAUGGAGUGAUGAUGGUCAUUACAUCACUUUUUUAUACAGGCAAUUUCUGCUGGGCGAUAGAUUGUUUCUGGAGAUACGGGCUGUGAGAGUGGAGAGGGCGAAAUUUCUGAAGAAGAAAAGAAAGUCAGACAGGUUUGGAAAGACAUGAGGAUCCACCCACUUGCUCAAAUCUGCACUCACGCUGUCAUUUGGGCUCUUGUGAGCAGCAUUCACUCAAAGGUCAACAAACGGCCUGUGACAGCACUUAGACCGGCCCUUCCUCGCCCCAGCUGCCCAGCCAUUGGUCCUGCUCUCUGUUAGAUCACAUCCUCAUCCCUGCCUCCACAGAGACUUCACUUAAGCAGGCCGUAAAAGCGCGCCUCGCAGCAUUAGAUGAUUGUGCUUGCGCAGGGUAUUGUGUCCGGGCUUGUUUCUGUCAAAAUGUGACGUCCUCGCUUUUGACGUUUUGGCUCCGUAUGCCAAAAUGCGCGUGGCAGAGUGAUAUGGAUGGGUGUCACGGAAAGUGAGGGACGGCGAGAGUGAGACUGUGUUUAUGUUUUGCUGAGUUCCUCAAAUCAAGUGUCUUAAAUCAAGUGUCUGAAGAAUGGAUUGCGGGUGUUGACCAUGAGAGCUUAUCUGAGUUGUCUGUUAGACAGUGCCACUGUAACGCUGCUGCCGCCUGACAAAGCAAACAGACAAGCUGGGAGACAGUGAUGGAAGUGCUCGGCAAGCGUAGAGUGGAGAAAAAAACAAAACAAAAACAACAUGGGCUCAUAAUCACUUCAUGGAGAAUAUCAAUGGAUAAUGCAAACAAAAAGCUUAUAUUAAAAAUGUAAAUAAAAAUGUUUAUAAAUUGUG
rnacentral:lncRNA from 1 species